rnacentral:rRNA from 1 species
AUUGAACGCUGGCGGCACGCUUAACACAUGCAAGUCGAACGGUAGCGGAGUGCAUUUAUGUACAGACGACGAGUGGCGAACGGGUGAGUAACGCGUAGGAAUAUGUCAUAUAGAGUGGGACAACUUGGGGAAACUCAAAGCUAAUACCGCAUGAUAUCUUAGGAUUAAAGAUAGGGGACCUUCGGGCCUUUCGCUAUAUGGGUAGCCUGCGUACGAUUAGUUAGUUGGUAGGGUAAAGGCCUACCAAGGCGAUGAUCGUUAGCUGGUCUGAGAGGACGGACAGCCACACUGGGACUGAGACACGGCCCAGACUCCUACGGGAGGCAGCAGUGGGGAAUAUUGGACAAUGGGGGGAACCCUGAUCCAGCGAUGCCGCGUGUGUGAAGAAGGCCUGCGGGUUGUAAAGCACUUUCAGUUAGGAGGAAGUAUGUUAGGUUAAGAGCUAGACAUAUUGACGUUACUGACAGAAGAAGCACCGG